AAGCGGUCUUCAUCAGGGAAGUGUCCGUCCCAGUCAGGAAUCCGGAGCAGGAAGGCAGGCCAGCAAGUCUCCCGCGUGUUGCGGGAGCCCCAGCCACGGGCUCAAGAGCAGCAUUUCCUCUGCUUCCUGUGGGGCAAUGCCAGGAUCUCCAGCCCAAGGGGCCCCAGGACAGUUCCUUGGGACAGGAACUCACAGCCUGCUGCUAGAGAGAUAAUGGCUUCCUUGGGCCCUCACCCGUAGGAGCUCAGACCUGUCAUCAGUAUCUGCUUGAAUCACUCAGUCCCCUGAGCCCCAGUGGUCUGCAGAACACCGUUCCUACGCCCUGCAGGCCGUGCGCUCUGGGAGCACAGAGACUGCACCUCGCCCAUCCUUUGGCCCUCCACCCUGCGUGGCCAGAAAUACGAUACGCAUUUCGGUUGCUCACGAUAGACAGUACUGUUCAUGCUGAUGACGGUGAAUAAAAUGUACCUCACCAAGGGGCA